AGAGGAAGGUGCAGGAGGGAGGAAGAGGAAGUGCAGGAGGGAGGGGGGGAACAUUAUCCUUGAGGCAGGAGCAGGAUCCUGCUCAGCUUCCUUAGCUGUGACUGUAGUCAAGUCCUUGGCCUCUCUGGGCCUCAGUUUCCUCAUCUGUAACCUGGGGCCGUCCAGUGAUCCUGAGCUCCUUGACCUGUGUGAACAGCUCUGUGGCCGCUGUUCUAAUACUGCUAGUAGAAAUAGUCAUUGUUGCUGGUACUUCAUGGUUGUUAUACCUGCGAUCUUGGAAGGACAGGAGGGCAGAUGUGGCUGCAGGGAACUUGAAGGGUGGAGCAAGGGGGCUGGGUGGAGUGUGGGACCACGGCAGGGAGGGACAGUUUCCUCAGAGACCAGGAGAAGGCACUGAUGGAGGCCAGAGGACCCGUGUGUGAAGACCCCUCGGGAUGCCCCCCAAGAUCUCUGUCUGGGCGGUGUAACCAGGCCCCAGGAACACCCCAAGUUCCACAGGCCAGACUCAGGCGGGGAUCCCCCAGGCUGGGCUCCAGCCUGCAGGCUGGGUCCCCUGAGCCGCACAGGGUCCGAAGGUCACAGCCCACAGCGGCCAGGGAGGGAAGGGUUAACCGCCGCUGCGGUAGGGGGGGGUUGACGCCGCCAGCGAGUCGCCACGAUUGGCUCGGGCGCAGAACCCGGGGGCAGCUGCGGGCGGGCGGCCGCCCAGACUUCCCGGACGCGCCUGGCGCCUCCGCUGCGCCGCCGGCGGCCUCCGGGGACGCGCUGCCCGGCGGCCUGGGGACAGCUCUGCUCCUGCGCCAGCCCUCCCAGACUCCCGCCCUGAUUGGGGACGGUGAGGACUGUCUCUCUCAGUGCUCAUCAGCUGCAGUGACAGCACAGCUGUCAGCGCCUCCGCGGCAGGCCCACCAGCCAGAGGCACCUCUACCCUCCCAGAAGGGCACAGGGCCCAGGUCACCUGUGGGGCUGAACCUGUCUGCCCGAUGUCCAGCCAUGAGGAAACCAGCCUGGUCCCAUGAGCUGGGGUAGUGGUGUGCCUUCACUUUGGCUGACCUGGGGGAGGGAUGGGUCUGGAGGCUCUCAUCCCCCUGCCAGACCCCAGGGACCUCAUAGACGAUAACAGAGAGGGGUGAGCUUGUUCUCUGGGCCCCCUGUGCCUGCCAGCACCCUCCUGCAGAGCCCUCAGCCACUCCACUGUGGCUGGGACCUUGGUGGUGGAUGGGCAAGCCAGUACCACCACCACACACCCAUUGGCAGCCUUUUGGACUAGAAUCCUAACUGGAGCACCUAAAAGAAGCUCCACUGGCCAUGGCAAACGUUGAU
rnacentral:lncRNA from 1 species